CCCUAUUUUCCUUAAUUCCACACCCUCCCUUCUCUCCACCCUUCUGCCGCUGACAUCCCCUCCCCUGUUGCCAUCGUAACCGAUGUCGUCACCACUUCCUCCUCUACCACAACCAUCAGUUCUUCCUCCAUUGCCACCACUCUCUUAUUUUUCCUCUUUUACCACCAUUGUUGCCGCCACCUUCUUCUCUACCUCUGCCUCCACAACAAUCAUCACCUCCACCUUCGUUGUCAUCACCAACAUCUCAUUUGCCACUCUACCAUCCUCUUUUUUACCUCCCUUGCUACAACAAUUAUUGUAAUUGUUGCAGCAACUUGAGCAAUUGUUGAAAAAUCUUCAACAGUUGCUACAAUAACUUCAACAGUUGUUGAGCAAACUUUAGCGGUUGCUGAAACAACUUCAACAAUUGCUACAAUAACUUCAGCAGUUAUUGCGACAACUUCAGUUGUUGCUUGAUUUUCUACAAAAAAACAAUUCAAU
rnacentral:lncRNA from 1 species